rnacentral:rRNA from 1 species
UUUAGCAGUGAGGAAUAUUGGUCAAUAGCCUAACGGCUGAACCAGCAACUUGGAGGAAUGUAAGGCAAUAGCCUAAUGCAUUAUUUUAAUGUUUAAUCGACCAUGUCGAAUAAAAUUCUAGGUAGAGUUUUGACAAUGACAUUCUCUAUCUAUGUGUCUUGACCAAAUUACGUGCCAGCAGUCGCGGUAAUACGUAAAAGACUAGUGUUAUUCAUCUUUAAUAGGUUUAAAGAGUACCAAGACGGUUAAUAAAGCCCCUAAAGGGUACAAGUUAACUAGAGUUAUAUGAAAGGGAGCUCUUAGGUACUGUUGAGUGUAGAGAUGAAAUUCUGUGAUACCAGAUGAUUGGCACGGGUCUAUGCGAAGGCAUCUCCUUAUGUAAUAACUGACGUUGUAGGACGAAGGCUUUUGAAGUGAACAGGAUUCGAUACCCCAGUAAUCUAGGCAGAAAAUGAUGAGUGUCAUAGGUUAAAUAUAAUUUAGUCUAUAAAUGAAAGUGUAAGCAUUCCACCUCAAGAGUAAUUUGGCAACAUUGGAACUGAAAUCAUUAGACCGUUUCUGAAACCAGUAGUGAAGUAUGUUGUUUAAUUUGAUGAUCCGCAAAGAACCUUACCACUUUUAAUAAUGUUAAAUUAUUAUUUUCUUCNUAUAACAUUGUUAAAAUUAUUAUCUUGAAUAAAUAUUUUUUUAAUAUUUACAAGCGUUGCACGGCUGUCUUCAGUUAAUGUCGUGAGAUUUUGGUUAGUUCCAUUAAAUUAACGAAAACCCUUACUUUAUUUUGAUAUAAAGUUGUUCACCGUUAUAUUGGUAUGAUAAUAGGGACCAGGACAAGUCAUCAUGACCUAAAUAUUGUGGGCUAUAGACGUGCCACAUAA